CAGAAGAAUCCUGCAUAAUUAUUUGCAUUGUGAUCACAUGCUUCAGUGCUCUGAAUGUUUAUAGUGCUGUGAGUUUAACACUUCAUGACUCACAACACAACACAACACAACGCAACACAAUCUUCAUCAACACACAAAACAACAAUGACUUUCAGCAUCAUCUUCAUCUGGACACUCACAGUGUUUGCUCAAGAGUGUAGAGGACAGUACACUGUUACUCAGACUCCAUCAACAACAGCAGUUCAACCAGGACAAGAUGUUCAAAUAAAGUGUCAAGUCAGCAGUGCAGUAUACACAGAUAGCCAUGGUCCCCGAAUGAGCUGGUACUUACAGAAACCUGGAGAAGCUCCUAAACUCCUCAUAUAUUAUGUAACAACCCGCCAGUCUGGAGUAUCAUCUAGAUUCAGUGGCAGUGGAUCAAACACAGAUUUUACUCUGAGCAUCAGUGGAGUUCAGACUGAAGAUGCAGGAGAUUAUUACUGUCAGAGUUUACACAGUGGCAGUAGCUGGGUGUUGACACAGUGAUAAAGAGUCGUACAAAAACCUCCGUCAGUCAGACUGAACAGUGACUGCACUGACACACUUCACACAUACUGCAGCUGCUCAUACAACACAAUGACUUGAUGUAGCAACAUUCUUUCAAUUAGACUUUUUUAUUACAAUUACUAUAAUUUGUAAUUAAUUGAAAAAUAUAUUUUUUAUUCAUUUA